rnacentral:rRNA from 1 species
UCGAACGUAAGAUGACUGUAGGUGAAAGCUUACAUCUCUUCGGAGCAUUUUACGAGGUGCUGCAUGGUGUCGUCAGCUCGUGCCGUGAGGUGUCGGGUUAAGUCCCAUAACGAGCGCAACCCUACCUUUAGUUGCCAUCAGGUAAUGCUGGGGACUCUAAAGGAACUGCCUACGCAAGUAGUGAGGAAGGCGGGGAUGACGUCAAAUCAGCACGGCCCUUACGUCCAGGGCUACACACGUGCUACAAUGGCCGAUACAGAGGGCAGCUACCUGGUGACAGGAUGCAAAUCUCCAAAGUCGGUCUCAGUUCGGAUCGGAGUCUGCAACCCGACUCCGUGAAGUUGGAUUCGCUAGUAAUCGCGCAUCAGCCAUGGCGCGGUGAAUACGUUCCCGGGCCUU